rnacentral:misc_RNA from 1 species
GAAAUGCGAUAAGUAGUGUGAAUUGCAGAAUUCAGUGAAUCAUCGAAUCUUUGAACGCACAUUGCGCCCCUUGGUAUUCCAUGGGGCAUGCCUGUUCGAGCGUCUUUUGUACCCUCAAGCUCUGCUUGGUGUUGGGUGUUUGUCCCCGUCUCCGCGCGUGGACUCGCCCCAAAGUGAUUGGCAGCCGGCGUACUGGUCCCGGAGCGCAGCACAUGUCGCGCAAACGAGUGCCUUGGUACGGCGGCGUCCAUAAGCCCCUCUCUCACGCUCUUGACCUCGGAUCAGGUAGGGAUACCCGCUGAACUUAAGC